rnacentral:lncRNA from 1 species
GCCGGUACCGCGGCGCGCGGGAGGUGCUGCAGGCGGCGCAGUACGUGUCGCUGGGGUGCGAGGGGAUGGCCGGCGGCGGCGAGGCGGCUGCGGCGGCGCCGCUUCCACGGGAGAACGAGCGGUUCAGCGUGAUGGCCAUCGUGGCGCACGCCGUCGUGGCCUCCAUGCUUGGGCCCUAGCUUAUCUUAAUCGCAUGUAAUUAGUUAAUUAAUCGCGCUCUCACCUGGGUAAUUAGUUCUAAUCCGUGCAAUAAAUAUGUUUGUAUAAUGUCAGUUAAUGCGAAACGGAAGGAGUCGUGCUUUUUUACAUGGAGGCCCUUGUAUGAAAAAAUAUUUUCCAACUAUUUCUCUAGCCUGACCUCACGCAAAAACCAUUGCUUUAAAAUAACCAGAAUCAGCACUAUAUCAUUAGACUGUUUCUUUUCUUUUAUUGACCCGUGCAUUCCAUCAUCACUUAUAUAUUGUUACUAGUUCCAAUAAAUGAUAUUACUAGUUCCAAAAAAACCUAUCUUUUACGAAAUAUACUACAGAA